rnacentral:ncRNA from 2 species
CGUAGCAUCCAGACAGAUGGUUCCUGCCUCUGUUUGGGGUGGGAUGAAAAGGGAAUACGGUGAGGCUUUGGACCAUUGGGUCCCGCCAAGUCCGUGACUGCCCCCGCAACUGUGAGCGGCGAGUUCCCCGGCAAAGCCACUGACCCCAACGUCGUAACCGGCAAAAAAGGGUCGGGAAGGGCCGGUUCGCGAUGACCCGCAAGUCAGGAGACCUGCCAUCGGCAAUGUAAACCU